rnacentral:rRNA from 1 species
UACAGAGGUCUCAACCGUUGUUCGGAUUCAUUGGGCGUAAAGGGUGCGUAGGCGGUCGUGCAAGUCGGAUGUGAAAUCUCAGGGCUCAACCCUGAAACUGCCUUCGAUACUGCGCGGCUAGAGUGCUGGAGGGGAGACUGGAAUUUACGGUGUAGCAGUGAAAUGCGCAGAUAUCAGGAGGAACACCGGUGGCGAAGGCGGUUCUCUGGGCAUUACCUGACGCUGAGACGCGAAAGCGUGGGGAGCAAACAGG